AUUGAACGCUGGCGGCAUGCUUUACACAUGCAAGUCGAACGGUAACAGGCCGCAAGGUGCUGACGAGUGGCGAACGGGUGAGUAAUGCAUCGGAACGUGCCCAGUCGUGGGGGAUAACGCAGCGAAAGCUGCGCUAAUACCGCAUACGAUCUAUGGAUGAAAGCGGGGGACCGUAAGGCCUCGCGCGAUUGGAGCGGCCGAUGUCAGAUUAGGUAGUUGGUGGGGUAAAGGCUCACCAAGCCAACGAUCUGUAGCUGGUCUGAGAGGACGACCAGCCACACUGGGACUGAGACACGGCCCAGACUCCUACGGGAGGCAGCAGUGGGGAAUUUUGGACAAUGGGCGCAAGCCUGAUCCAGCAAUGCCGCGUGCAGGAAGAAGG
rnacentral:rRNA from 1 species